GCAAACUUGGUCAUUUAGAGGAAGUAAAAGUCGUAACAAGGUUUCCGUAGGUGAACCUGCGGAAGGAUCAUUACUAAUUAUCCACCAUAUGGAUAAUUUAUCCAUAACCACCUUGUGUGAAUCAUUGAAGUGUUGUUGGCAGGUUAAGGCAGUUUCAUAUGUGAAGGAUGCCUGUGGGUAUUGUACUUGGUGCUUGCUUGGCCUGCCAAUUUUUUUAGUUUAAACAUGUCUAAAUAAAUACUACUUGUCUGAAACAUAUUUAUAUAACAAAUACAACUUUCAACAACGGAUCUCUUGGCUCUCGCAUCGAUGAAGAACGCAGC
rnacentral:misc_RNA from 1 species